AAUUGGCAAGUGGUUGGCGCGAUCCCGCAUGAUCAGGAUAUGAAUCGUGGGGUAUAAGAUUGUCGCUCAAGAUUUUCGAGAUGCGGCAGUUGUAGUUGUUUUAUCAGUCCAGAGACAGUUGUUGUCCUACGAGUGUUGUGUUUUAAAUAAAAUUUUCAACCGAGUGUUGUCGAGAUAAGAAUUGAUCGGUGACGGCUAGGGGUCGGUUGCCUUAAGGCGCUACUAGAUGGGGACGUCCAGUACCAGAAUCUGUCUGUAGGUACGAAGCUGGUCGACCAACAGGAUUGGCCAACAAGGAGACUUCGACUUUACGCAUAGGGAAUGCCGAGCGAUGGUUGGCCAUGACUUGUUUGCUCA
rnacentral:lncRNA from 1 species